ACUUUGCCUCCAGAACGCGGUGAGUUGCCUGCGCAACUUGAAAAGGGAAUCCGGUGCAAAACCGGAGCUGUGCCCGCAGCGGUAAUCCCCACGACGAACGUUCCGGCUAUCUGUCUGCCAUUGUCCUCCGGGACGAGAAGGCGCCGGAAACGGGGAGAGCCCGAAGACCUGCCACGUUCGAGUCAAUCCG
rnacentral:ncRNA from 2 species